rnacentral:rRNA from 1 species
GAUCCUGGCUCAGGAUGAACGCUAGCUACAGGCUUAACACAUGCAAGUCGGAGGGGCAGCGGGAUUGAAGCUUGCUUCAAUUGCCGGCGACCGGCGCACGGGUGAGUAACGUGUAUCCAACCUUCCGUACACUCAGGGAUAGCCUUUCGAAAGAAAGAUUAAUACCUGAUGGUAUCUUAAGCACACAUGUAAUUAAGAUUAAAGAUUUAUCGGUGUACGAUGGGGAUGCGUUCCAUUAGGUUAGG